CUUGGGUCGUGGUGAGACUGUAACAUCUUCUACAGCUCUUUCGGCGUCACGGCUGCUGCCCAGCACGCCCCUUUAGGCUGGUUUCCUGACGUUGUCUGCUACGUAGGCUACCCUGGUUUGCUUUGUUUUUAGCCUGUCUGCUAGUAGCUUGCUAACCUCAAGCGAUGCUGUGUGUGGACAUUACUCAGUGUUACAGGACGAUACCCGUCUGAAGCUGGACUUCAGGAAUAACAACGAGUUUAUCAUGGAGUUUUCGCCCGUGGCCACCACACAAGCUAAGGACCUACGUGUUUUCUCAACAUCGGUACUUGUUCCUCCAAUUAGUCAGUCUUAAUUAUUAUGCGUAAUUAGUCUGCCUGGACCUGGUGCCUGGACGGCUGCUGUUCCACCAACUGCACAAACCACUGUUAUUCCGCCUGGCUUCCCAGUCUCAAGGCUACCGAAUCAAACCAAACUGCUAAGUAAACCCAACAGAGGCUCUUCUUCCUCAGGAAGCUAAAACAGACCAGACUUUCUGAGCUGCUUUUGAACUUCUACAGAGCAACAACAGAAAGCAUCCUCUGUCUUAGUAUGAAAGUGUACAGCAGCUGCACCACGAGACAGAAAGACUUUGGCCCAGGUGGUGAGAACAGCACUGGGGAUUGUUCAAAGUCAACUUCAACAGCUGGACUCGCUGGACGGAUCCAAAAAAAGGCCACAUGUAUCGCUGCAGACCCCACCCACCCUGGAAAUGGACUCUUUAUACACCACCAGACUGAGAGACAGCUUCUUGAUCAGAGCUGUGAAAUCCAUUUC
ensembl:lncRNA